AUUGAACGCUGGCGGCAGGCCUAACACAUGCAAGUCGAGCGAGCGGCGGACGGGUGAGUAAUGUCUGGGAAACUGCCUGAUGGAGGGGGAUAACUACUGGAAACGGUAGCUAAUACCGCAUACCAUCAGAUGUGCCCAGAGGGGAUUAGCUAGUAGGUGUGGUAACGGCUUACCUAGGCGACGAUCCCUAGCUGGUCUGAGAGGAUGACCAGCCACACUGGAACUGAGACACGGUCCAGACUCCUACGGGAGGCAGCAGUGGGGAAUCUUGCGCAAUGGGCGAAAGCCUGAUACAGCAAUGCCGCGUGUGUGAAGAAGGCCUUCGGGUUGUAAAGCACUGUCAGCAGGGAGGCGUUACCUGCAGAGGAAGCACCGGCUAACUCCGUGCCAGCAGCCGCGGUAAUAC
rnacentral:rRNA from 1 species